UGCGGAAGGAUCAUUACCGAGUGAGGGCCCUCUGGGUCCAACCUCCCACCCGUGUUUAUUUUACCUUGUUGCUUCGGCGGGCCCGCCUUAACUGGCCGCCGGGGGGCUCACGCCCCCGGGCCCGCGCCCGCCGAAGACACCCUCGAACUCUGUCUGAAGAUUGAAGUCUGAGUGAAAAUAUAAAUUAUUUAAAACUUUCAACAACGGAUCUCUUGGUUCCGGCAUCGAUGAAGAACGCAGCGAAAUGCGAUACGUAAUGUGAAUUGCAAAUUCAGUGAAUCAUCGAGUCUUUGAACGCACAUUGCGCCCCCUGGUAUUCCGGGGGGCAUGCCUGUCCGAGCGUCAUUGCUGCCCUCAAGCCCGGCUUGUGUGUUGGGCCCCGUCCUCCGAUCUCCGGGGGACGGGCCCGAAAGGCAGCGGCGGCACCGCGUCCGGUCCUCGAGCGUAUGGGGCUUUGUCACCCGCUCUGUAGGCCCGGCCGGCGCUUGCCGAUCAACCCAAAUUUUUAUCCAGGUUGACCUCGGAUCAGGUAGGGAUACCCGCUGAACUUAAGCAU
rnacentral:ncRNA from 2 species